rnacentral:rRNA from 1 species
UACGUAGGGUGCAAGCGUUAAUCGGAAUUACUGGGCGUAAAGCGUGCGCAGGCGGCUGUGCAAGACAGAUGUGAAAUCCCCGGGCUCAACCUGGGAAUUGCAUUUGUGACUGCACGGCUAGAGUGUGUCAGAGGGGGGUAGAAUUCCACGUGUAGCAGUGAAAUGCGUAGAGAUGUGGAGGAAUACCGAUGGCGAAGGCAGCCCCCUGGGAUAACACUGACGCUCAUGCACGAAAGCGUGGGGAGCAAACAGG